rnacentral:lncRNA from 1 species
UUUCCUUCUCAUGCAUGGAUUUUGGCCUAGCAGCUCGCCAUCUUAUGCAAACAAGUACUGCACCAAAUUUGCCUUUGCCAAAACCAACAUUGCCACCUUUGCCUUCACUUCCAACACUGCCUCAGGGCAAUGUUCCACCUUUGCCUACAAUCCCAUCUCUUCCAACCAUUCCAACUGUUCCACAGGUCACUCUUCCACCACUUGCUGCCACUUUACUUCCAAACUUCCCCACAGUCCCAACCACUAUUCCUUCCUUCCCCUUCUUCUCCCCACCACCUUCAGCCACCACUCCCUAAAUGAAGCUACUCUGCUUAUUGGAUACAUAGGCACUCGUAUCCUUGGAGUUUGGUUCUGGCUUUCAGUGAUCGUUGGCUGCAUUUCGUGUUGUUUUUAUGUUAUACAUGUGAUGGUGAUAUAUAUUGUACGUUGUCCAUUUAUUGCCGGGGAAUAUUUAUAGUAAUCUUUCAUUUUCCUUUGUUCUUCCAUCUUGUAUUGUAUGGAUAGGAUUAUUGUUUUUUCUUCCUCCUCCUUACUUCAUGUACUUGGGGAUCAUCUAUUGUUAUAGGAUAUACGCUAUAUAUAAUAAAUAAUCCAUGUUCCUUAAUUAUAUAAAUUUAUACACUUUGCUUUCCUAAGUUGCUAAGCCUCCUAUCGAGUUAUUUCUAUUCAAAGGGUAACAUAAUUUGACAAAAUAUAAAUGAUAUGGAUACUUAGAACACAUUCGGAUAAAUGCCUUAAUUAAAAGUAUUAAUAUAAUAAACUUUUAUUAAGAGGAAAUUUAUUCAUGUAAAAUUUGUUUGAAUAAUGGUAUUCAAGUUAUCUUCUAUUUAAAGUCUUAAAUUGCUUACUUCAAGUUGACUUUCAGGUUUUAUUUACUGAUCUUUUACUUCAUUAAUAAAAAGGAAUAUUGAAAAACUCAAGUGAAUGGAGCUAAACUAGCUACUUUCCAAUAAUAAAAUCAAAGGCACCCACUAGAGUGAGAGAGUCAAAGUCAAAAAAAGGAUCCAUAGUCUCUGAGAACGUGCAUGAAACUUUCAUUUCAAAUGACUCUCAAUUGAUAAAAGAAAGAAAAUAAGCUCUCUCUAUUUUUUUUCAUUCUUGAUUACUACCUUGCAUGUGUAUAAGACUUAAUUAUUUCAAUUUUGAAAUUUUUAAAAGAUUGCGUACUAAUCCUUAACUUUUUUAGGAAUCCUUUAUCAAUGGUUAUGAAUGAUCGCUUUGAAGUAAAUUAGAAGGUCGAUGACUGUAAAAGGGUUGAAUACUGAUCUGCACAAAGUAAAGAAUAUCUUUUGGCUUUUAAUGCUCAAGUUGUUUCUUGACAAUCUAAACUAUAAAGUUAAUUAGUUAGGAGUAAGGAAAUGCUUUCUCUCAUUUUAAGAGAAGAAAGUAUAAUAAUCAGAAUGUAUUUUAAUGUUGAGAAGCUUGUUUUAAAAAAUACAACUUUUGUAGCACUAGUCUAUUUUUUAGCACUAUUUCUGAACUGAGAAAUCACUUUUAAAUUUAUUUGAAACCUUCUAUAUUAAACUAUAAAUCAAAUUGAGUUUAAAUUCAAGUUUCUUUAAAAUAGAAAACUUAUUUUUAUGCAUUAUCAAACUUAAAUGUAAACAAAUGACAAGAAAGAAAGAAUGUUACUCACAAACAUUUUUAUAUUAAUUCAUUCUUUAAUUUUGGUCUACAUCCAAUCCUUAUCUUUAUCUUUAGUAGAAUUUUUACUAGAUGACACACACUAACCAACACACACAAAUAUAUAUAUAUAUAUAUAUAUAUAUAUAUAUAUAUAUAUAUUAAUACACUGCAACUUUUUAAGCAUAUUUUUGUUUUACAUUAACUAAUUAAGUAAUACUUUAAGUAUGUUUAUUAAAAUAAUUAUUAUAAAAAAUAAUAUUUUUUAACAAUAAUAUAGAUAUUUAUAAUUAGUUUAACAUAUAAAACAUCUUAUAUGGUAUAUGGUAUCAACAUAUUCCAAUUAACUUCUUAAAUAAUUAAUAACUAUAUUGUUAAACUUAAGUUGAUUUAACUAUCUGUAUAAAUAAAUAUAAAUAUAGAGAUAAAGAAAUAUAUAAAUUGGCAGAUAAAUAAGUUGGGAGGCUCAAACCAUUUUGGAUACAUGGGGAUUCCUCAUUCUCAGGCUCUCAAAUAGUAGUGGUAAGUAGUAACAAUACCAAAUGUGAAAUAUCCGUUCAAAACAUUAAAAAUAGUAACGAAUAAACUUUACAUCAUUUUAAUUCUUCCACUGGGUUGAUAGACUACUACUGUCUUUAAGACUAUCUCAUAUGCAUGCAGUUUUUAUUUUUUCAUGCGAGGGAAUGUACGUACCGUGUAUUUGAAGCUCUGUAAGGAAAAAGGAGCAUAUUCUGUGUACUAAAGAAUAUUAAUAAAAUAAUCACCUAUUAUAUGGUGGUCAAAUGGACUUUUUGGGUGAUUGGUCAAAGCCUGAAAUGGUAGUAAUACUCGUUGGCCUAAUGUGUGAGUGUAACUAUGAAACGCCAUUGGCUGCAAAUGGUGACGUCUGGUAGCUGAGAAUCAGAUGAACUGAGUUAGAUAAACCAACUCUUGGUAUUUUAAUUUCUGUUUUCCAAUCCCAAUUCUCCCCAAUAAUUAACAAAAACAAGUAAAAAUAUUUUUUUAAAAAAAGGAAUAACUAUCGUUGUUACCACAAAGUAAGCCUCACAUUUGAAUAUUGGAGGCUAUAACUCAACAAUAGCCAACUACCUUAUUAGUCCAAAAUAUAUAAUAAAAUGAUUUAUUCAAAUACAGGAGAUAGGUGAACUAACAAAAAUAUGGUAUUUGGUUCUCCAAACAAAGUUGAACUGAAACCAACCAAUGACUCUCUAGUCUCUAGCUCUAUAUAAGACGAAGCACUAUCCUUCAGCAUCUCAUCCAAUUCUCAAAGCAAAUACAUACCAUUUUCAUAUUUGGAAAUUCUUAUUCUUCUUCAUUCUUGCAAUGGCCUCAAGCAAAGCAUUCAUCACAGCUUUCUUCCUUCUUGCUCUGACCAUGUCAAGCAUGAGCAUGAGCCUAGCAGCUCGUCAUCUUAUGCAAACAAGUACUGGACCAAAUUUGCCUAAACCAACAUUGCCACCUUUGCCUUCACUUCCAACUCUGCCUCAGGCCAAUGUUCCCCCAUUGCCUACAAUACCAUCUUUGCCUACCACUUUGCCUCCACUUCCCAGCAGCAUCCCAACCAUUCCAACAGUUCCACAGCUCAACCUCCCUCUAUUGCCCUCAAUCCCAACCACUAUGCCCUCCAUCCCAUUUCUUUCCCCGCCACCUUCAGCCUCAAGCCCUUAAAAUACCCUUCCCUUCAUUUCUUCAUUCUAUGACUUGGUGGUGUCUCUGCAAAAUUGCAUGCAUGCAACAGAUAUGGCUUGAUUCCUUCCCGCAUUUGUGAGAGCAUUGUAUGGUGUUAUAUAUCAUACAAUCUUUGUUGUUUGGUGUGAUGAAAAACAGUGUAUUUUGUUUGUUUUCAGUUUAUGAGUUUCUUGCUAUUGCUUGUACUUUUUCUUAUAUUAUAUAGAUUGUGUACUGAUUACACAAUUAUAUAUACAAUUAUGAUUAAUUUGUCUUCUCCUUUUAAGCUCUUCAACAUCCUAAUUAUUUAUAUUUAAUUACAUCACUUAAAAGUAUUUCACUUGACACCUUGAAUUCUCAACGUUUGGCUUAUAUAACUCAUGUAGUCUAUUUACCAGGUAACGAGUAGAAGUAAAUAUAGCAAAACGUGGCAUUGUGAACCGCUAACCGCGAGAAAUUAAAUCUGGUGUUUCAUUUCAUAAAACUGAUUGAGUUGUACAUAACAAUAGUGAUAGUUUCACACUAACUGAAAUUCGUUAUAUAAAUAUUAGCAAAUAAUAACUUUUAGCGCUUCUCUUUUUGGUAAUUAUUAUUGCAUAAAAAAUAAGCCAUUAUGACGAGUUAGAUAAAUUUUUUAAACAGUAAAAAAGAUUAUAAGGCAAUAAUGACAAAUUAUUAGCAACUUAAGUCUAAUUAAGCUUAACUGCUGUCUAUUGCACUUAAUAAUAAGGUAUUAACAUGAAGUUCAGAUCAAGCAAUAUACUACGUAUAAGUUACAAACUUUACAAUAAUUUGUCGUUAUAUUAAUUUAAAAAAUAAUUUUCCGGUGUUGUUCUUAAAACUAAUCAUUGAGAAAAUAAAAACAAAACAUACUACUUUAUGUCAUAACAUAUCCAAAUAUAUGGUAUAUAUAAUAAUAAAAAAACAAAAAUUUAAAUAAUGUUCAAUAAAUGUUGUUUUUCUUCAAUCAACAUUGAUUUUUUACUUCAGAAAUAUAUCUAUGUUGAUCUUUAAUAAGAAAAAUAAAAAAAUAUACAGAUCAUCAAAGUGAAAAUUCAACUCUGAUUAAAAAACAGCACUAAAAGUAAUUAAAAAAUUACUUCUAAAUAUUAUCUAUAUAUAACUUCAAUUAUGCAAUUAACAAAUUAAAUUGUCCCCUAGGCUGAAAAAAGUUUGAAGGGAAAAUUAAUACACUGUGACCACAGGAAGCACAAUUCAUUCAUAUUUGCAUGUCAUAGAGCUUUUGCUAGUUUGAAUAUUUUUUUUAUGUUGUACGAAAAUAAGAGUCCAAAACACACUGAUUAUAUAUAAAAACACACUGAUUAUAUAUAAUUUAAAUUUUGAUGAACUGAGUAAUAAGCCACAGUACUAAAACCCUCACGCUUCACACUUAAACCAGUUAGACAUUUUAGCAAAUAAUCCUUCUUGGAAAUAUCGUCUGCGCGCAUGCAUAUUAAUUAAACAUGAAGAAAAAAGAUCGUUAACAGCAAAGAUAGAAUUGAACAGCAUUAAAAUGAACUGAUGGUACAGUUUUGCAUCAAUAUAUGACAAAUCAAGUACUCAAAGUCUAAGUCGUCUGAGAGUAAUGCAGUACUCCCAACAUUUGAUGCCAUUUAAAACCGACACAUGCAUGAAACACCGUUCUUUAGGUGAGUUCCUCUUCUUCUAAUUAAGGUGCACUAAUAUAAAAACUCAAGGGAAGGCUCUUGUCUUCAUCACCACGAAUCCUCUUACUAUUCAAAUGGCCUCCAUCCGUGUGCUGCUCUUAUCUUUCUUUUUCAUUGCUUUGUCACUUUUUUCCUUUGGCAAUGUCGAAGCCAGUAGAAAACUUCUGGCACCAACAUUACCCGAUUUGGGGAAUUCUCUUCCUCGCCUGAUAUUUCCUCCAUUUCCACCAGUAACGGACUGGCCAGAGUAUAGGUUGCCUCCCCCAUUGAUUCGCACGCUUCCACCCUUCUCACCUCCUUCAGCCACAACAACCAAUCCUUGAGUUGAAUAGUAUAUAUGAUCAGCAGAUCAUACAUGUACUGUAUAUCGAUGAUGUUGCAUAACUUGCAUUGCAUGUGGUGAUGUAGUGCAGUAAAAUAAAGGUUCACGUCACGCUCAAGCUUUCCUAAUAUCUUACGUGUUUAUUUAUUGACUUCAUCGUUGUUUGCUAUCCUUUGAUUGGGUGAGAUAUAUAUGCUUUGUAGUAGCACCUUGUAAUGGAGCAUCUUAUAAUUUUUUUCUUGUACUGGUGGAUUCAUAUAGACUAUUAGACUACGCCUUUAAGAGGAUGUAAUAUGUAAUUUUUUUUUUUAAUGUGAGAGGAUAUAAGUUUGAAGCUUUGUAUCAGUAUUCUAGAGUAAAAAAAUAAAAAAAAUAUAAUAGUGGAAAACAAGAUUAAAAAAAUUACGAAAAUAAAUUCCUCCUAAUUGUGGUCAUCAAAGUCAAAUAGAUGCAUUUCGGUGAUUGGCGGUCAAAGACUAAAAUGGUAGCUGAGGUGAACUCAGUUAGAUGAACCAACUCUUGGGUAUUCCCCCUUUUCCAACAACAACUCUUUCUUUCUUUAAUGCAUACAAAAUCUGAUGAGUUGGUCAUCCUACAUUUGAAUAUUGGGGACUAUAACUUCAUAUAAUAGCCAAAACCUUAUUAGUCCAACGUAAUAAAAAUACAGGAGAUAGGUGAACUAACAAAAAGAUUGGCUACUCUCUAUUUGGUUCUCCAAAUUAACAAAGUUGAAGUGAAACCAUGAUAUAUCCCAACUCUCUAGCCCUAUAUAAGACCAAGCACUAUCCUUCAGCCUCUCAUACAAUCUCAGAGCACAUACACACCAUAUUCAUAUUUGGCAAUUCCUCUUCUUCAUUCUUACCAUUUCCAUUGAGCUAUGGCCUCAAGCAAAUUAUUCAUCACAGCUUUCCUUCUUGCUCUGACCUUCUCAAGCAUGAGCAUGAGCCUAGCAGCUCGCCAUCUUAUGCAAACAAGUACUGCACCAAAUUUGCCGGGUAUUCCAAGUUUGCCUUCACCAACAUUGCCACCUUUGCCUUCACUUCCAACACUGCCUCAGGCCAAUGUUCCACCUUUGCCUACUAUCCCAACACUUCCACAACCUAACCUACCAUCUUUGCCAACCACUUUGCCUCCACUUCCCAGCAGCAUCCCUACCAUUCCAACACUCCCACAGCUCAACAUUCCUCCAUUGCCCUCAAUUCCAACCACUAUGCCCUCCAUCCCAUUCCUCUCCCCACCACCUUCCACUCCUUAAAAUACCUUUCAUAAUUUCAUCCUGGGCUACCUACGCCCUCUGACUUGGUAUAUCUCUGCCAAGUUGCAUGCAUGCAAUAGAUCGAUAUAGUUUGAUUUCUUUCGCGUUUGUGAGAGCAUUAUUGUAUGGUGUUAUCAUAGUAAUAUUUUUGUUGUUUGUUGUGAAAAACAGUGUAUUUUCUUUUCAAUUUAUGAGUUGUUUCUUGUUACUGUUUGUAAUUUUUUAUUAUUAUAUUAUAGAUUGUGACUGAUUACACAGAUAUACAAUAACGAUGUCUUCCUGUUUUUUUAGCUCUUAUAUCCCAAUUAAUAAGCUCGAUCUCUAAUUAUUUAUAUUCACAUCACUGGGAGUAUUUCAUUUUAGCUAUUCGAUUUCUCUACGUUUGGCUUAUAUAGCUCAUGUACAGUCCGUACAAGGUGAUCGAGUUGUACGUAACAACUAUAAUAAUCCGAAUUUCAAUAAUGUUUUAUAGGUAUUGUUUAAUGCAAAUUUUUAUUAUCAGACUUUAAAUAAAAGUAAAACUUCUGAUUAAAAAACAACACCAAUAAAAUAUUUAAGAAACUGCAUACUAAUAUAUAUAUAGCAUCAUACUAUAUGUUUGGUGCAUAGAAAUCUUCAACAAUGCAACCAUCCAUAACUUUGCUAUAACAAAUUGUCACGAGGCUGGAAGGCAAAAAUACGUCGUAGCCACAGCUAGGAAGCAGAAUUUAUUCGUGUUGUCAUGAGCUAAUAACAGAGUUAAUAAUUUUCUCCGACACAAACAGUAGACAAACGGAUUAGUAGCUAAAUAACAGAGUUAAUAAUUUUCUCCGACACAAACAAUUAAUAAUUUACGCGCUUCAAUUCAGGCUAUAUUUUUUUCUCCUAAUUUAUUUUUCCUUGUGCUUAUUGUAUGUUAUAAUGCAUUAUUCAUGUUUAAAUUUAUUUUACUACUGUUAUUAUUUUGUUAUUUAAUUCAAGACUGUGCAUCUUCUUUGUAUUUAUUUUUCUUCAUUUUUUUAUUUUAUUUUUCCAACACUUACGUCUUACUAGGAAUAAAAUGUUAUGUAUAUUACCUGUUUUACUUCAGUGUGAAAAGCCAUUUGCAGCCGUACGUGAUGUAUAGACCCUCUUAAUCGAUGUUAGUGUUGGAGUGUCCAAUAGCUGUUAUCUCGCAGCCUGUCUCUAGAGAUAUAUACCUCAGUAGUCAGUACAGAAAGGAAUAUCCUCUCCUUUUGUAAAUCUCAGAACAACCUAAUUAGCCAUCUAAUUAUGUGCACAUUAAUCCCCACAACAAUACUCUUACCUUUUAUUACACGGCAACCUUGUGCAUGAAACUUUCAUCACUAUUAAUGUUUACUAGGAAAUGGUGGAUAAUUGUGUGUUGGUUUGGUGCCAAAAUUUUAACCAAAAAAACUAGUCAAAAUUAUAAAAAAAAAAACCCUCCACACCCUUCACACUCAAACCAGCUAGACAAUUUUUGCAAAUCAUCCUUCUUGGAAAUAUCGUCUGCACUCAUACCAAUUAAACAUGGAGAAAAAGAUCGUUAACUGCCAAGAUAGAAUCAAAGCAUUAAAAUGAACAGGUUCAAUUUUGCACUCCCAACAUUUGAUGCCAUUAAAAACCGAUGUGGAUGAAGUGUAACGAUCCACACAUGAAACACCGUUCUUUAGGUGAAUUCCAAUUCUAAGGUUCACUAUAUAAGCUCAAGUAUGGCAGGUCCAUAUCUCAUCACCACGAAUCCUCUUACACUUUUCCUAGUUACUGAUUUCGACCAUAUACUACUAAAAUGGCCUCCUUCCGUGUGUUUCUCUUAUCAUUCUUCUUCAUUGCUUUGUCACUUUUGUCCAUUAGCAAUGUCCAAGCAAGUAGGAAACUUAUGGCACCCACAAUGCCCAAUAUGGGCAAUUCUCCUCCUCGAGUGAUAUUUCCUCCAUUUCCACCAGUAACGGACUGGCCAGAGUAUAGGUUACCUUCACCAUUUAUUCGCACACUUCCACCCUUCUCACCAAAUCCCACAACUACCAAUCCUUGACUUGACUUGAGUCUUGAGUAGUACGUAGGAUCAUUUGCUACAACGUACCAGAGUAUAUUGAUGUUGCAUUGCAUGUAUGUGAAGUAAAAUAAAAGUUUCAAUCACAGGCUUUCCUAUCUUUUUUUGUACUUCUUGUUUUCUAUCCUUUGAUUGGGUGAAAUAUGCCAUGUAGCUCCUUGUAAUGGAGAAUCAUAUAUGAUAUAUAAAUGUCUCCCUUUAGCCUUUGUGCAACGUGAAAAGGAUAAUUUUUUCUUGUACUAAAUUGAUACUUGAUAUACUAUAGCCUUUAUAAGAGGAUUUAAUAUGUACUUGUUUUAUGCGGGAGGAUAUAAGUUUGAAGCUCUGUAUCAGUAUUCUGUGACUAUAUAGUAAAAAUGAAAAAUAAUUAAUGGAUAAGAUUAUUAAAAAAAACUAAAAUAUAUUUUUUAUCCCUAAUAAAUACUCAAAUAUUAUAUUUAUUUUUUCAUAAAUUUUUUCUUUGCAUUGAGUUCUUAAUAAAAGAAUAAUUUUAUUUUUUAUCUUUAAUAUUUUUUUAAUCUAAUAAAUUAAUGAAUUUUAUAUUUAUUUUUUAAUAUUUUUUUCAUUUAUUACUAAUCUUUUUCAAAAAAAACUAAUAACGAAUAAAUUUUUUUAUCAAAUAGAAAAAAAUUCUAAUUUAUAAGAAAUGAAAAAGUUCCAAUGAACAAAAAUAAAAUUAUUAUUUUAUCAGCUAACAAAAACAAAGAAAAAAUUAUUAAAAAAUAAACAUACAGUUUAAAUAUUUAUUAAAAAUUACAAACAUAUUUUAACCUUAAAAAAAUUACUAAAAUAAAGUUCUACUAUGGUCAAAGUCAAAUAGAUUUUAUGGGUAAUUCAAUCAAAGCCUCAAAUGGUAGUAAUACUUGUAUGCCUAAAGGGUGACGUCUGGCAGCUGAGGUGAACUCAGUUAGAUGAACCAACUCUUGUAUUUCCACGUUUUCCAACCCCAAUAUUCUGCCCAGAAACAAUUAUAAACAAAUAUGCACUUUAUUGUUGAAUAAUUGCACCCCCACUUCAUAUUUGUUACUAUAAAGUAUGAGCUGGCCAUCCUACAUUUGAAUAUUGGAGGCUAUAACUUAACAAUAGCCAACCACCUUAUUAGUCCAAAAUAUAUAAUAAAAUGAUUUAUUCAAAUACAGGAGCUAACGACCGUUUUAUAUGAAACUCGUCUUAGAAAGGUAGUUAACGAUCGCUUUAGAAUGUUAUUUUGAAGAAAAAAAAUAAUUUAAAAUAAUAAAAGCAUUAUUAUGAAAUGAUAAAAACAAUAUUAUUAUGAAAUGACAAAAAGAACAUUAAAAUAAUAAAAAUAAUUUUGUUAGUUAGCCAAAGUUUUAUCUAUAAAUAUAUAAAUGUACUUUUAAAGUCAGAGCCUAAUAAUAUCAUUCAUUCUCUAUUAAGUUACUUUUCUAUUUCAUUACCUAAAACAAAGUAAAAAAUGUAGAAAUCCAAAAGCAAUGCCUGAUCAAUACCCAACAAUCAAAAAACAAUCUUCCCUCGUCAGCUUCCUAACCAACUGAUACAUGUUUUCUCGUUGAAAGUAAUAACAAGUCAAAAGUAAUAAGAGAAUUCUAUUAUUUGUGAUAUAUUUCAUGGGUAACUAUUGAUUAUCUGUGAUAUAUUUCAAUGGAAAAUUCUAUUACUUUAAUUGGAACCUAUGAUGUUUAUUCAAAGAUGGUGCAACACCCUUUCACUAGCUGAAGGAGAAGAUAAAUUAUUAAGCACCAAGAAUAUAAUGAGAAGGGAAUACAUACUUUAUUGAAUUGAAUGGAAACAGAAAAUAGGAGAGAGGUCUCUCCUCCAUGGGUUUCACCUUCACAAAUUAUUUGUCUUUUUAUAAAGAGCAAAAGCUCAAUCUACAAAUGAUACAAGGUUGAAAGCUUCUUGCUUACAUAUAUCCUCCUCGUAUUUAUAUACCUCUCAAAUCCCCUCUAUCUGCCUAACCCUUCUACUAACCAACUACAGUAACUUUCCUAGCUAACUUCCUAAUUCCUAACAUAAUUUGAUUUGUAGAAAUAGAAAAAAGUGAUGCAUUUUCUCUCUUUUUAUUUUUAUGCCUCUGGAAUGGUAUAUUUAAGCCUUUGAAUUUGAACAUGAUAACAAUCUUAUUUGUUUUCUCCCUGCUUUCAUGUCAUAUAUACAGUUUCGCCCAUUUAUAUUAGAAAGAAUUCAGCCAAAGCACAUAAUUCUUUUGUUUGAUAACAGUGAGUUUAACCAUAGAAUGAAAGAAACGUCCCAUUCAAGAAGGAAUCCUACACUUUUUCCUUCCCCCACAUAUAUUCACUAGUUUGAAUACUGGUGCUACACGUGGUUAAAAAUAGAAUAAAUUACAUGGAUCCCUCCCUGAUGUGUUCCUUUAUUACACCCAAAACCAUUCGGUGAUUUUGAGAUAUGUUGAGUUGUGUUUCCAAAAUUGAAAAACAUUAAAGGGAAAAGCAGAAAAACAGAUAAGAGACAAAAAUCUAGAAGAAAUAACAUAAAAAUACAACGGUAACCAUAAGAUUUGUGAGUAUAAAAAGUUAGUUGCACGGCAGACCAACAUUAUCAUAAAAUAUAUAUACCGAGGAAAGCAUACCAGUUGAAGAUAAGUAGGAUCAGAUGAUCUUGGUUUGGGGGUUGGGUUCAUGGAAUAGAACCAUCCUGGGAAACUGUCCAAAUCCCACUCUGAAAUAAAUCAACAGUAACCCGUCAUCUUCAAUUCUUGUAUACCAUUUUCAACAAAAUAUCAACAACAACAGAGAUGGCAUUAAAUAAACUGUAUAAAAGAGGAAAUAACAUAAAAAUAGAUAAUAUUUUUCUAAAUAAAAAUAUAAAUUAUUAAAAUAUAGAGAUACAAGCAUGUGAAACUUUGUUGUUUCCCCUAACCAAGUCAAAUUACCAAUAAGUAUUUAGCCAGAGUUGUCUUAAUUAAUUAAGGAUUUCAAAUUUAAAUCUCUAAGAAUUCAUUAUAUUAGUAAUUCAGAAGGCAAGUUUUCUUUUUCCACCUAUAGUAAUCUCAUUCAGCUCAACACUGCCACAACCCACCCUGCCAUCUUUGCCUACCACUUUGCCUCCACUUCCCAGCAGC